rnacentral:misc_RNA from 1 species
AACUUCUCAACCACAUUCGUUCAUUUGAUUGUGGCUUGGAUGAUGGGGGUUUUUGUUUGCAGGCUUCUUAAUUAAUCUGAGAGGUCGGCUCCCCUGAAAUGUAUCAGUGGUAUCUGAGGCUAUUGCUAUAGGUGUGAUAAUUAUCUAUGCCCUUGGUUGUGCCGCAUGGAACUGCUUCCAACAAAGAUGAUCUUUUUGAUGA